rnacentral:tRNA from 1 species
GGCUGGUUUGCUCAGAUGGUUAGAGCGUGGUGCUAAUAAUUCCAAGGCCGUGGGUUCAAUCCCCAUACUGACCA